UACGUAGGGUGCAAGCGUUGUCCGGAAUUAUUGGGCGUAAAGAGCUCGUAGGCGGUCUGUCGCGUCUGCUGUGAAAACUCAGGGCUUAACCCUGAGCUUGCAGUGGGUACGGGCAGACUAGAGUGCGGUAGGGGAGACUGGAAUUCCUGGUGUAGCGGUGAAAUGCGCAGAUAUCAGGAGGAACACCGGUGGGCGAAGGCGGGUCUCUGGGCCGGAUACUGAC
rnacentral:rRNA from 1 species